rnacentral:lncRNA from 1 species
CCCCGGGAGGGAAGGCGGAUUACCGCCUCCUCGGCCGGUGGACGGAGGGAGCGUGUCCCCGGCGGCGGCCCUGGGCCACGCUUACGCCAUGCUGGAAUUUCAGCCCUCGCCGCUCUCGGGGUGCUUGGGGAAGCAGCCCUCGUCCGUGCUCAGGCCCCCGCCCGCCGACCAGGGCUUGUCCCCGGGCCCCGGAGUGGGGCGGUUGAGGAUGGGAAAGCAGCGUGAGGGGAGAGUUUGGAAAAAUCCGGGGACCGCCCGGGAGAAGGGGGAAGUUAUUCUUCCUCUCCCCGAGGGGUGUGUCUUCCUUACGGAUUCUCCCUGCCCUCUUUGGUUAUCCAGCAAGGAGAUUUUUGGCUUCGGGGACCUCGGCAGAAAACCUAACCUGCAGCCUAGAGAAGUCGUACGGCAUUGCUCAGUGGUUAUUUUGGAAAGGCCAACGCUGAUCACCAAAAUGCAUGUCCUCUUCAUCUGAGCUU